GGCCCAUUCCUAGCACACGGACGACAAAUCACGCGCACGCGGGACCACAAUUUCCCAAUUAGGGCGUCUCCUCUACAGCUCUAUAUAAAGAGCCUUAAGACAAUUCAGAAUUAACAAUUUUUUUCCCUCGGCAAUUCCGCAGGCGCAAGGCAGAAGUUCUUCGGUUCUUUCCUUCCUUUCCUUUUUAUUUUUAUUUUUCUGUUUUUAAUUCAGUCAAUGAGUGGCUGAAUUUCUUU
rnacentral:lncRNA from 1 species